GGAAGAGAAAGAGCCAGUGACAAAUGCCAGAGAGUCUAAACCAAGGAAGGAGUGGUCCUCAGGAGAAACAACCCAAGAAGAAGAUCCAGUUACCCCGACUACACAAGUGCGUCCCUCCCCUAGGAAGUUGGCCGAGGAAAGGUUGCAGCUUUUUCAGUGCCCAUCUGAGGUGUUAGGUGAACGCGUUGUCAAGAAGGAUGAGGCAUAUAGGGUAAUAGACACAUUUACAUGAUUUCUGUCCUUAGUGGUCAUGCUGAUCAUGUUCCUGUAAUAUGAUAUGUUUCAUUUCAAGCUCAAAGCUAAAUGUCUCUGUUUAAUGUUGAAUAAGGUUGAAUUUCAGCAUGUUGUGUACAGAUGUAGCAUCUUAAUUUGUCCUAUAAUGUCACAGCAAAAUAAUCCUGCAGCAACAGGAUUUUACAUUUAGUCCGUAAUGUUGCUUGAUCAUUGGUUAGGCUAUUAGCUGGCCAAAAGUAGGCUACAUGAAAAGAGCAAUUCUAUUAAAAAUGUUGGUGUGGGUUUUCAGUGAAUUUAUUUCAAUCAGGAAGCUCCUUUGCAGGAAAAUUCUCAGCAACAAAAGAUUGAUCAAAUUAAGACCCUACAUCUGAAUGUACAUUUUCAACCAAAUUGAUGUAAAGUUAAUUACAAUAAAAUAUAUACAGUAACUGUGCGGCU
rnacentral:lncRNA from 1 species